AAGUUGGAAAUUGAUUGACUGG
rnacentral:miRNA from 10 species